ensembl:lncRNA
UGGGGACUUUAAAUUGCCCGUAGAUGUGUGAAUGUGAGUGUGAAUGGUUGUGUGUCUCUGUGUUGCCCUGCGAUUGGCUGGCGACCAAUCCAGGAUGUACCCUGUCUAUCGCCCGAAGUUGGCUGGGAUGGACUCCAGCCCCCCGCGACCCUGUGUGCAGGAUAAGUGGUUUGACAAUGGAUGGAUAAUAUAAGUUAUUUGUAAGCAAUAUAAUUUUAAAUACCAGCAAGUGCUUCCUACUGCAUGUGUACUUCAUGGUAGAUUUGCAAAACACUAAACACACUUAACAUACAUUACACACAAAAAUCUAUCACCACCACCACCUAACCUAAGUUUGGUUAGGGCGCCUUGACCGUGUGCCAGGUAGAGAUUAUGUUUUCAAUUGGGGGUUAGUACAGGUUAGGGGUGGGGACCUUUUUGUUUAUUUCUUUGUUUUGGUCCGGCCAGCCCUCCCCUUUUCCCAGAAAGUUAUUGUUUAUUUAUGUGUAUUUAUUUUGUUAGAUAAAAGCGUUGUACUGGGGGGGGGAGGAUAUCACUCCAGAUCAGUGGGUGGCGGUAAUGCACCCGAAAGCUGUUUGCCAAUCGCCAUAAAAAGCACAACGUGUAAUGGCUACGUUGUGGAACGUGGUAUUCUCACGCUUUUGGGGAGAAAGCGUGUCAAUACAACUCUAAGAGCCAGUUUUGUUCUUGUUUGAUUGUUGACUCCACCUCCUUUUAGGUGGUGGGAGGUUGUUUCAAUGUUCCUUAAACAUCAACCCCAUCAGGUUGACUAGCUGGCGCAGGGGGUCGCCUCUGAGGUCUUCGUCCAUUUCUAUUUCGUCUUUCAUUUUAAGGAUGUCCAUGGUUGAGCGUAUGCCGCCGACUAACCGGCGCUUGAAGCUUAUUCUCUCUGUUGGCGUUAUGUAAUCUUUGAUGGCAGAGAUGGUGUAGUUUUUUACUUUGAUUUCCCCUUUUUUCAAGGAGAGCAGCACCAUUUCUUCAUUGCCAAUCAUCUUAGACAGCUUCUUGAGAAUAGUCUUGUUGAGGUUAUUGAAGUUUUUUUGUGUGCAAUCAAAGUGCAGGUUGACUCUUUCCACAAUUUUUUCAACGAGGCCCUGUUUGAGGACCAGGAUUUCACUUUUACUGAUGCACCCUUCGCGGUUCUUUAAUAACUUUGUUAAGAGCAUCUCAAUGAUUAUCUCCGCCUUUACUGUUUCCAUCGAUACAAUGUCCUGUGCAGGGCUUGCAAGAGUCUUUAGAGAACUGCUGCUCUGGCAAUCGAAAACCGGUGGCGGUGUCAAACUGUUUUCUAAAGCACGUCUUGUCCUCCGAGCCAGUGGGUCGACCUGAGUUUUCUGCCACCACUGCAAAAGCCUUGUGAAAUUCCACACGGUGUCCCAUAUCUCAUUGUACAUGUGAGCAUUUGCCCAGAAUGCGUUCGUGGUGCCGUCAGAACCCUCAUUUCUCCUUAGUCCUGAGAUGUCCUUGAGCGGCAAACUGCCCACCACCCGUUGGAAGAGCAUGUUGGUCAGCUCCUGUGUGAUGACCAGGGAUUUGCUUCUUGCAAUUCCCUUCAACAUUGGAGGCGUACACUUCCGUUUUCCAAAUUGUGCUUUGUCAUCAUCCAAUGUUAGCAGCUCGGGGAUGAUGUCCUCUAUGUGCUUCAUCAAUACGGGGCUGCAUUCCUUGUCUGAGUCCUUCCUGAAUUUUCUCUUCAUUUCAUUCAGUAUGCGAUUUAGCCAUGCUUUACUAAAGUGCAGUGCAAAAAAGCCCUUGACACUGCUCCAUAGUGUUUUCUUGUCUGUCCCCUCCGAUUCCUGCAGUUCUUCGAGAACUCCCCGAGGAACAGUUGUUUCCAAGGGGCUGUCGACUUGCAAGUUCUGAAAGUCAGCGCCCGACAUGUCGUCCAAGAAAGGAAGCAUGCUCUUAUUCACCUCCCUCACAAUUACUGCUUCCGGAGAUGGAAUGCUUUCCGUAUCGGUCUGGCUGCCUGACGGGACGUUCUUAUGGUUGUCAACAGCGUUUGAGGUUUCUGGAGACUCGUCAUCUGUCCCAUUCAGCACUGGUAUGAAGUGGGCCAAGUCCUGCUGGGUGUUUCCCAGGACCAACACAACGUGAACCUGGUGAAUCCAGUUCAUGACAUCAUUAAAUGAGGGAAGCCUCGUUCGCGUCGCGCCCUCCGCGCGCCACCGCCUGUCACUCUACGCGUGGAGCGCGUGCACGCGGCCAAACAACCUGGGCUGCGGACCAGAGAGCGAGAACAGCUGAGAGGAC